UGAAAUGUGGAGUAUGGAUAAGACACAGUAAUAAUGUGGAAUUACCUUGGAAAGACCCAGUGGGAUACCUCAGAACUGCAGAGAAAAUAAUUGAACACCAAACCUAAUCAAGUCUAUUUAUCUAACUACCACUGUAAAGUAAAUAAGAGAAGUAAAGACAGACAUUAAAGACACAUGAGGAACAAUCAGCUGAAUCCAGAGUGUGGGAAAUUCUACAGAACAAAGGACUCAAUUUCUUCAAACAACAAAUGAGACUGCAAGGAAAAUGGAGCUGAAGUCAAAAACCAUUAUGAUGAUUUUUCGUUUUACUGUUCACCACUAACCUCUCAGCCAAAAGAGGCUUCCUGAGAAAGACUGGGACGAAGAAGGGAGAGGAAAAGUUCAAUUGUCAUAUCACAGCACUGAAAGGCUAUGGAAAGCCUGUGACUUAAGUGGACUUGCAGUGAGCCCCACCUAUCUUUAAAACAUAGAAAAUUAACUUUUUCAAGAGGCUAAAAGAAAAUGUCAAAUAAAAAAUCCCAAGAGGAGGAGCUUCAGUAUUGUAGAAGAGUAAGACAUGGAGAUCACCUUCCUCCCCACAAAUACAUCCGAAAUACAUCUACAUAUGGAACAACUCAUACAGAACACCUACUGAAUGCUGGCAGAACACAUCAGAUCUCCCCAAAGGUGCAAAAUGCCCC